rnacentral:rRNA from 1 species
CAAUAGCGUAUAUUAAAGUUGUUGCGGUUAAAAAGCUCGUAGUUGGAUUUCUGUUGGGAACGACCGGUCCGCCCAUUGGGUGUGUAUCUGGCUUGUUCUCGGCAUCUUCUUGGUGAACGUUGCUGCACUUGACUGUGUGGAGCGCUACCCAGGACUUUUACUUUGAGGAAAUUAGAGUGUUUCAAGCAGGCAUAUGCCUUGAAUACAUUAGCAUGGAAUAAUAAGAUAGGACCUCGGUUCUAUUUUGUUGGUUUCUAGAGCUGAGGUAAUGAUUAAUAGGGAUAGUUGGGGGCAUUCGUAUUUAACUGUCAGAGGUGAAAUUCUUGGAUUUGUUGAAGACGGACUACUGCGAAAGCAUUUGCCAAGGAUGUUUUCAUUGA